rnacentral:rRNA from 1 species
AUGAAUGCGAGUUUGAAAAAAGGAUCCUCUUUCACGUGGCAAAGCAUCAUGGCCGGAGUGGAUUCUCUCAAAAAAGGUUAUAUUUGGAGAGUUGGUAAUGGACAGAAUAUUGAUAUCUGGAGAGAUGCAUGGAUCCCGAAUGGGGCAAAUAGGAAAAUUAUCACUCCUAGAAGAGGGCAGCUUCUAACAAAAGUUGCUGAUCUUAUAGAUCCAAUCAACAAUUGCUGGGAUGAAGAUUUGGUAAGACAAACGUUGUGGCCAAUUGAUGUCCAGAGAGUGCUUACGAUCCCCCUCCCCACGUAUGACAUGUCGGAUUUCAUAGCUUGGAGCUUUACAAAGAAUGGACGGUUCACGGUUCGUUCUGCUUAUCUGGAGGAAUGGAAAGCCCAACAUGGGAGGAAAUUGCAACACUCAGAUGGCAUUGGAGGAAUAAAUGUCAAUACUAUUUGGAGCAAGAUUUGGAAAUUAUCUUGUCCAGCAAAAGUGAAGAUCUUUAUUUGGCGUACCUUACAUGGAACCCUCCCGUGUCGUGUUACACUUGCUAAUAGACAUAUGAAAGUUUCGCCCACCUGCCCAUCAUGUUCAAACGGGCAUGAAGAUACAAAACACUUAUUAUUUUUAUGUCAAAAGGCAAAAGAGGUGUGGGAGAAACUGGGAUUGCACGAAGCCAUU